rnacentral:rRNA from 1 species
CGAAUAGGGCGUUAAGUCGCCGGGGCAAACGCGAAGCGGAACGAUCUACCCAUGCCCAGGGUGAAGACAGGGUAAUUCCGUCUGGAGGCCCGAACGGGUCGGUGCUGCAAAACCGUCCGAUGAGGUGUGGGUAGCGGUGAAAAGCCAAUCGCGUUCCGUGAUAGCUCGUUCUCCCCGAAAUAGGUCGCCGCCUAGCGUCACCCGUUCCUUCCCGGAGGUAGAGCCACUGGUUGGGCUAGGGCCCCGAGAGGGGUACCGAACCCUGCCAAACUCCGAAUGCCGGGAUAGGUAGGGUGGCAGUCAGUCCCCGGGGGAUAAGCUCCGGUGGACGAGAGGGAAACAGCCCAGACCGCCAGCUAAGGUCCCAAAAUCCGGGCUAAGUGGGGAAGGAUGUGCGGCUGCUAAGACAGCCGGGAGGUUGGCUUAGAGGCAGCCAUCCUUUAAACAGUGCGUAACAGCUGACCGGCCGAGCGGCCGUGCGCCGAAAAUUUAGCGGGGCUCAAGCCCGGUACCGAAGCUGCGGGCUCGCGUAAGCGAGCGGUAGGGGAGCGUUCCCUGUGGGCUGAAGUCUCACCGUAAGGUGGGAUGGACUGCAGGGAAGUGAGAAUCCUGGCAUGAGUAGCAGCGAAGACAGGUGAGAAACCUGUCCGCCGGAAGCCCAAGGUUUUGGCGGCAAUGUAAAUCAUCCGCCAGUUAGCCGGGACCCUAAGGUGAGGCCGAAAGGCGUAGCCGAUGGGAAGCGGGUCAACAUUCCCGCGCCAGCGGUGUGGAGCCAGAGUCGUGACGCAGGAGGCUAGGGAGAGCCGGCUAUGGAAUGCCGGUCUAAGGUAGUAGGAGGGGGUGGCAGGCAAAUCCGUCACCCCAUACUCCGAGAGCCGAUGGGGUAACUCUCCUGACGCCACACUGCCGAGAAACAACGGCGCUGGCGUUGAAGCACCGCUGCCCGUACCGGAAACCGACACAGGUGGGCUGGGUUAGUAGCCUAAGGCGUCGGGGGAACUCUCCUCAAGGAACUCGGCAAGUUGCCCCCGUACCUUCGGAAGAAGGGGGGCCCGUGGAGGUUAAGCCUUCGCGGCGUAAGCCUCUGCGGGUCGCAGAGACCGGGCGGUGCCGACUGUUUAUCAAAAACACAGGACUACGCAAACCCGUAAGGGGAUGUAUGUGGUCUGAAGCCUGGCCAGUGCCCGUAGGUUAAGGGGCGGGGUGCAAGCCCCAAACCGAAGCCCGGGUAAACGCCGGCCGUAACUCUGACGGUCCUAAGGUAGCAGUUGCUGCCUGAACCUCGCUGUAUGCGGGGAAGCCCUUAGAGCUCCAGCUACGAGGUGCAAAAAGGCACCCGUAAAAAUGCUGGAGAUUGGGCAAUCCGCAGGAAAUCCCCAAAAGGGAGAUCCUCAGAGACUGUACGCGAGGGCCUUUGCCUCGCGAAGGAGGGAAAGGAUGGAACUUUCUCCGGAUUGGGUCGUAGGUUUUGUGGAUGGAGAGGGUUGCUUUCACGUUAGCGUAAACGAAAACCCUAAGACCAAGUUGGGCUAUCAGGUUCUUCCUGAGUUUGUGGUGGUUCAGCAUCAGAGAGAUAUACAGGUGCUCUACGCGCUGAAAAGCUUCUUCAAAUGCGGAGUGGUAAGGAAGAACAACGGAGAUAGGUGGUGCUACAGGGUUAGAAAGCUGGAAUGCCUAAGGGCUAUAUGCGAGUUCUUUGUGAAGCACCCUCUCAAAACUAAGAAAAACGUAGACAGGAUUAGGUUCUGUAGGAUUGUGGGCUACAUGCUUGAAGGAAGACAUUUAAGCGUGGAAGGUCUUCUGGAGAUUAUAGAUGUAGCCCUUCGGAUGAACACACAGCAAAGGGAAGCCCUCCUUCGCAUAAAAAGGGACCUGGAGGCAAAGGUAAGAUACAGUCCACCCCUUGGCGAAAGCCAAGGAGAAAGGUGAGCGAAAUUCCUUGUCGGGUAAGUUCCGACCUGCAUGAAUGGCCCAACGAGUGCCGCACUGUCUCGAGGGGAGGCCCGGCGAAAUUGUGAUGCCGGUCAAGACGCCGGCUACCGCGGCAGGACGGAAAGACCCGUGAAGCUUCACUGUAGCCUGGUACUGAGUCUUAGCCUGUCCUGCGCAGGAUAGGUGGGAGCCUGUGAAGUCCCUCCUCCGGGAGGGAUGGAGGCGCCGGUGAGAUACCACCCUGGACAGGCUGAGACCCUAACCCAGCGGAGUUAUCCUCCGCGGGGACCGUGCCAGGUGGGCAGUUUAGCUGGGGCGGCUGCCUCCUAAAAGGUAACGGAGGCGUCCAAAGGUACCCUCAGGCGGGUCGGAAAUCCGCCGUAGAGUACAAGGGCAGAAGGGUGCCUGACUGUGAGGCCGACAGGCCGAGCAGACGCGAAAGCGGGGCCUAGUGACCCACCGGUCCCAUGGGGAAGGGCCGGUGAUCAGCGGAUAAAAGCUACUCCGGGGAUAACGCAUGUUGUCCCGUUAUCCGGGCAACCGGAUAACUAGCACACGGCUUAUAACGGGGGAGCCCUUAUCCCCAGGGUAAUCCCGUGGGAAGUCUGGAGAGGCACCAAUGGUGAGCAAAAGGCAAAGGGAGAUCCUCAUAGGUACGAUAUUGGGAGAUGGAUAUCUCCAAAAAACAGGUAAACGCAACGCAAGGCUAAAACUUGAGCACUCGGAAAAGCAAAAGGAUUACAUCUUUUGGAAAUACGAGGAGCUCAAGAACCUGAUGCAAGAUAGACCAAAGAGGAUUGAGAGGUUUAACCCA